rnacentral:snRNA from 1 species
AUACUUACCUGGCAGGGGAGAUACCGUGAUCACGAAGGUGGUUUUCCCAGGGCCAGGCUUAUCCAUUGCACUCCGGAUGUGCUGACCCCUGCGAUUUUCCCAAAUGUGAGAAACUCAACUCCAUAAUUUGUGGUAGUGGGGGACUGCAUUCGCUCUUUCCCCUG